rnacentral:rRNA from 1 species
UACAGAGGUCUCAAGCGUUGUUCGGAUUCAUUGGGCGUAAAGGGUGCGUAGGCGGCGCUGUACGACCCGUGUGAAAGCCCCCGGCUCAACUGGGGAGGGUCACGGGUAACGGCAGUGCUCUGAGUGCAGGAGAGGGAAGUGGAACUCCGGGAGUAGCGGUGAAAUGCGUAGAGACCCGGAGGAACACCGGUGGCGAAGGCGGCUUCCUGGUCUGCAACUGACGCUGUGGCGCGAAAGCUAGGGGAGCAAACGGG